rnacentral:tRNA from 1 species
GGCAGUAUAGUGUAAUGGUAGCACCUUGGACUCUGAAUCCAACAGUUCGAGUUCGACUCUCGAUACUGCUU